rnacentral:rRNA from 1 species
UACGUAGGGAGCAAGCGUUGUCCGGAAUCAUUGGGCGUAAAGCGCGUGUAGGCGGCUUGGUAAGUCUGCUCUGAAAGCCCGGGGCUCAACCCCGGGAGGCGGGUGGAUACUGCUGAGCUCGAGUCCGGAAGAGGCGAGUGGAAUUCCUGGUGUAGCGGUGAAAUGCGCAGAUAUCAGGAGGAACACCGAUGGCGAAGGCAGCUCGCUGGGACGGUACUGACGCUAAGGCGCGAAAGCGUGGGGAGCGAACAGG